CGUGAGCUCGGGACUAGUGUUCUAAGUGCCGACUCUUACUUUACAUACUCUUUGUUCUUGUCGAGCUCGUUCGUGUUUUGUGCGUGUGUUGUUCUCUCUGCUUUGAUAUACAUUUUCACUUUUAUUUUGACCUGGGCGUGUUUUACGGACUCUGAUAGUGCUGCUUUCUUUGAUAUUUGACUAUUUUUUAUGGACUCGUACUCCUCACUUGACCAACCCCGGCAAAGAUUUUAGACUGAUGAUGAUAGCGAAGAUACCGAAAAGCCCAUGAUCUAACUGUUAUGUUGGGUGUGACGCAUAAGGUCUACUGCAUCAUUUCCCUAAGCCUCAAAAAGAUGUAGAAAGGUUUGAUAUCUGGAAAGCAGUGUUAGAGAAUGAAACCACAGAAAAAGGAAAAGUGUAUAUCUAUACCCAAUUGAGAUUAUGCAAUAAACCUUUUGAAAAUUAUUACAUAUCACCAAGCAAAAGGUUAACGAAAUGCUAUUCCAGCUCUGUAUAUUAAGAAAGAUGAUAUGUCUUUUAGUGCAUCAAAAUCCACAGUAAUAAGGUGGGUUGAGGUAAUACCGGAUGGAUUUUCGAAUAGCUGCAAGGAUGUUGUAAUUUUAUUUUUUUCUCUAUUAUACCAUAAGUCACAUUCAUGAAAAUUUGUGCAAUUAAUUAUGAUUAAACA